CCUACGGGUGGCAGCAGUGGGGGAUAUUGCACAAUGGGGGGAACCCUGAUGCAGCGACGCCGCGUGGGUGAAGAAGCGCCUCGGCGCGUAAAGUCCUGUCAGCAGGGAAGAAAAUGACGGUACCUGAAGAAGAAGCCCCGGCUAACUACGUUCCAGCAGCCGCGGUAAUACGUAGGGGGCAAGCGUUAUCCGGAUUUAUUGGGUUUAAAGGGUGCGCAGGCGGUCUGUUAAGUCAGCGGUCAAAGCCCGGGGCUCAACCCCGGCCCGCCGUUGAAACUGGCAGUCUCGAGUUGGAGAGAAGUAUGCGGAAUGCGCGGUGUAGCGGUGAAAUGCAUAGAUAUCGCGCAGAACUCCGAUUGCGAAGGCAGCAUGCCGGAUCCACACUGACGCUGAGGCACGAAAGCGUGGGUAUCGAACAGGAUUAGAUACCCUUGUAGUC
rnacentral:rRNA from 1 species